UACGGAGGGUGCAAGCGUUAAUCGGAAUUACUGGGCGUAAAGCGCACGCAGGCGGUCUGCCAAGUCGGAUGUGAAAUCCCCGGGCUUAACCUGGGAACUGCAUCCGAAACUGGCAGGCUAGAGUCUUGUAGAGGGGGGGUAGAAUUCCAUGUGUAGCGGUGAAAUGCGUAGAGAUGUGGAGGAAUACCGGUGGCGAAGGCAGCCAUCUGGCCUAAUACUGACACUGAGGUACGAAAGCAUGGGGAGCAAACAGG
rnacentral:rRNA from 1 species